rnacentral:lncRNA from 1 species
AUUUAUUAAGUUGGGCAUUCUUAUCAUUCAUGUUCUUAUGUGUUCAUGAAUCGCCAAAGGAAUUAAUAAGAUGAUGACGCAUAUUCUUAAGAGUUGAGAAUUUGAGGCAUGUGUCAUUGGUGAUUAAUUCCUGAAUUGCUUCUGAUCGAUGGAUCAUCAUGAGGACGGUGAUUGAUCCGCUGAGAUUAGUGCACGGAUUGCUUUCUUUGAUGGACGAGUCUUGAGUCCACAGUGUGGCGACACUGGAGCAAUUCUGCAAGUGCUUGUUAGAGAACAAGGGUACUGAGCGUGACUAUAGCAAGUAGUUACUUGGAUGUCUAUCCACUCGUCAGUGACAUACUUGAUGCUGCAGUUGUAUGACUGGUCCUUUGACCUGUGAUGCCUCGGCUAUUCACAAUGAGGUUGCUGUAGUUUGACGAGCACAUAAACAUGGGCCCUAUCCAUUUGGGUCCUUGUGGUGCAGAUUGGCUGUAGUAGGUUCAUUGUAGGAGUAGGGAUGCAUCUAGAUGGAAUCUAUCGAUCUUGAUAGAUUAGGAGAGAUCCUAUGUGAUUUAUGAGACUGAGUUCGUAAAUCCUUGGCCAAGGUAG